rnacentral:tRNA from 1 species
ACCGUGAUAGCUCAGAUGAUAGAGCAUAUGACUGGUAAUUUGAAGAUUGUCCGUUCAAUUCGGGCUCAUGGCU